rnacentral:rRNA from 1 species
UACGGGGGGAGCAAGCGUUGUUCGGAAUCACUGGGCGUAAAGGGAGUCUAGGCGGUUUGGUAAGUGGGAUGUGAAAUCCCCGGGCUCACCCCGGGACCUGCAUCCCAAACUGCUGAGCUUGAAUACAGGAGAGGGUGGGGGAAUUCCAGGUGUAGCGGUGAAAUGCGUAGAUAUCUGGAGGAACACCGGUGGCGAAGGCGCCCACCUGGCCUGCUACUGACGCUGAAGCUCGAAAGCUAGGGGAGCAAACGGG